CCUAAAUUGUCCUGAACAUGGAUUAACCCUAUAUGAUAAUAGCUGGUAAUGCUCCUGACGUAAACCAACAGCUACACCUGCUGUUUGAAACAUAUAGAAAUAUAUGUCAAAAUGACAUCAACAGACAUUAAAAUAAAGACUUGUCCCAAAAUUACAUUGGACCAGGUCAGAAGGUUAACAUAUAAGGAAUGAUAUAUAACCCCAUGACAUAGGAAUAGAAUGAUCUUCACAGAUAUCACAGAUCUUCUCAUCAGAUCUUAAAUCAAAAUCAUAAGACUCAGACGAUCUCUUGAAAUCCCUAUAUGACAAUCUAGAAGACAUUUUGAAACAAUCUUAAAAAAACCAUCCAGAACAUCUAUCGGUAAAUAUAAGCGAAUUAUACUAAUUAUAAAAUUACAUAACUAAAAGCUAGUAUUUUUCUGGGUAAAAACUGAUCUGAAUCCCCCAGAUUGGGUUUCCUGAUAGCUCACGAUAAGAACUGUUUUAACUAAACCUGCAAGAAUUUAGUUACUGAAUGAAUUAUGUAACCAUAAUUAAUUACUCUGUGAAAUAGCAGUGAGCUAGUUAAAAUCCUGUAUGAGUUAAAAGCUUGAACUGACUUGUCAGCACUGAGCUGGUUAAAAUUCUGUGGAUAGCGGAUAAAACAUUGUCAGUAGAACUUGUGUAUAGAUCACCUGAGUAAAUAAAGAACUCUGUCCUAUAGAAUGUAUGCUCAUUUGAGCAGGGUCCUCUUCGACCUAUCGUUCCUGUAAGUUUUCUUGUAAUUGUCCUACUUAUAGUUAAAUCCCC